UUAUCCAGCAAGAACAGUGCCUGGCACACAGUAGAUGCUUACUAUGUGGGGACUAGUACUCUUACCUGAUAAAGUCCUUGGCACGGUGCCUGGCACACAGUAGGUGCUUACUAUGCGCGGACUAGUACUGUUACAUGAUAAAGUCCUUAGCAUGGCACCUGGCACACAGUAGGUGCUUACUAUGGGGGGACUAUUACUAUUACAUGAUAAAGUCCUUAGCACGGUGCCUGGCACACAGUAGGUGCUUACUAUGCAUGGACUAGUACUGUUACAUGAUAAAGUCCUUAGCACGGUGCCUGGCACACAGUAGGUGCUUACUAUGUGGGGACUAUUACUGUUACGUGAUAAUGUCCUUAGCACUGUGCCUGGCACACAGUAGGUGCUUACUAUGUGAAGACUAGUACUGUUACCUGAUAAAGUCCUUAACAGAAUGCCUGGCACACAGUAGGUGCUGCAUAAAGGCAACUGCUAUUU